CCUACGGGGGGCAGCAGUGGGGAAUAUUGCACAAUGGGGGAAACCCUGAUGCAGCGACGCCGCGUGAGCGAUGAAGUAUUUCGGUAUGUAAAGCUCUAUCAGCAGGGAAGAAAAUGACGGUACCUGACUAAGAAGCACCGGCUAACUACGGGCCAGCAGCCGCGGGAAUACGCAGGGGGCAACCGUUAUCCGGAUUUACUGGGUGUAAAGGGAGCGUAGAUGGUCAUGCAAGCCAGAUGGGAACGCCCGGGGCUCAACCCCGGGACUGCAUUUGGAACUGUCAGGCUAGAGUGUAGGAGAGGCAGGCGGAAUGCGUAGUGUAGCGGUGAAAUGCGUAGAUAUUAGGAGGAACACCAGUGGCGAAGGCGGCCUGCUGGACGAUGACUGACGUUGAGGCUCGAAAGCGUGGGGAGCAAACAGGAUUAGAUACCCCAGUAGUC
rnacentral:rRNA from 1 species